rnacentral:rRNA from 1 species
UACGUAGGGGGCAAGCGUUGUCCGGAAUUAUUGGGCGUAAAGGGCUCGUAGGCGGUCUGUUGCGUCUGCUGUGAAAACCCGGGGCUUAACCCCUGGCUUGCAGUGGAUACGGACAGACUAGAGGUAGGUAGGGGAGAAUGGAAUUCCCGGUGUAGCGGUGAAAUGCGCAGAUAUCGGGAGGAACACCGGUGGCGAAGGCGGUUCUCUGGGCCUUACCUGACGCUGAGGAGCGAAAGCGUGGGGAGCGAACAGG